AGUCCUUCAAAGAACUUCUCCAGCCUUGGAAAUCAGCUUCUCUGAAUGCAGGAUCUUUCACCUGUUGCCCCAUGAAAUACCCAAGAUUACGUCUCAUUUCAAAAAAAGAGGGCUAAGAGUAGUCCAUCAUGGCUGGUUCUUACACACUAUUUUGUGGGUGGAGUUUGAAAACAUUAUGCUAAUGAAAGAAACCUGCCACAAAAAGGCCACGUGUUGAAUGGAGUUAUGUACAUUUCUAUGAAAUGUCCAGCAUAAACAAAGUAGAAUGAACUGUCCCCUUCCCCCAUCCUUGAGUUGGUUUAACAAGCCUCCAGACACUGGAGCCAGGAGUCUGGCCUUGCUACAUCUUCUGCCAGAGAACUGAGAACCACUUGCCUGUCCGCCAGCUGAGCUGCUGAAGAGCCUACUUUGCAACUCAAUCCAGCUGAAACAAGCAACAGAACUCAGCCAAACAAAGGGAUGGGUCCUUGGGUUCUCCCCCCCACCCCCCUUAUGUUCAGUGUCGUACAUUAAAAUUUGAACCUUGAUCAG
rnacentral:lncRNA from 1 species